rnacentral:rRNA from 1 species
GACGAACGCUGGCGGCGUGCUUAACACAUGCAAGUCGAACGGAAAGGCCCUGCUUUUGUGGGGUGCUCGAGUGGCGAACGGGUGAGUAACACGUGAGUAACCUGCCCUUGACUUUGGGAUAACUUCAGGAAACUGGGGCUAAUACCGGAUAGGAGCUCCUGCUGCAUGGUGGGGGUUGGAAAGUUUCGGCGGUUGGGGAUGGACUCGCGGCUUAUCAGCUUGUUGGUGGGGUAGUGGCUUACCAAGGCUUUGACGGGUAGCCGGCCUGAGAGGGUGACCGGCCAAAUGGGGAAUGGGGUACGGCCCGACACCCUCGGGGGGGAGAAGGUGGGGAUGGUGGACACAGGGGGGGAGGCCUAAUCCAGCAACGCCGGUGGGGGGAUGAGGGCCUUGGGGUGGUAAACGGCUUCGGCCGGUAACGAAGCGGGGGUGGCGGUAAUGGGAAAAGAAGCACCGGCUAACAACGU